UCUCCCGUCAGAAUCCCCAUUUAUCUACUUUGUCAUUUUUUGAUAUUUUCCCAUCAAUUUUAAACUUUCUGUAUUACGGUAUUUACACAUUAACUGCUAACAUUUAUCGCAUGUAUCCGAAGGGACACCAAAACCACACUGAAAGACCUAAACUAAGCGUUUCUUCUCUUCUGCCAACGUCCGUUCAAAGCGCAAUGAUUCCAUCUAUUGCCGAUUCGCCGCAAGUUAUGAAGCCUUCACCGUCGUCACCGGCCAAAGAUGCAUCUGCUUCAAGACCAGUUCGGACGGCCUGAAAUUUCGACAAACGGAACAAAUCACCCCCAAAGUUGAAGGGAUCAUUUAUAAAAAAAAAUUAUGCGGAAGAGUCAAAUCAGUGUUUUGUACUGUUCUGAGCAUAUGAUGUAGUUCGGUAACUGAUGGGGCUUCAGGUUACGUUCUUUUAGCUUUUUCUCUUUGCCUUCUGACGUUCAACUUACAUACUCCAUGUUUUAUGAACUCUUCCCAUCAUUUCGUGAGUCUUCAGCAGACCAAGAACUAUUCUUUAAUUUCAAAUUGAUAGAAGUACAAAAGAUAUGAAUUCACAUUCUUUUGCCAACAUAUGCAGAAACUAUAAUGUGCAAUAAUUCUCUAUUUUUCGGUAGUAAAAGUUCACCUGUAUUAAGAAUGAGACUCAAUCUGACUUGACAAAAAGGAUUUGGUGAUAUCAAUAAUAACUGUUGUCUGUGUGCAUUUUGUGCUUAAAAAGUAAUCUCAACAAAGGUAUCAUAUGUCAAGGAGCUUAGUGACUCUUGACAAUUACUCUAUUGCCAAUCGGGGUGAAUGGUGGGCUUACGGCUAAGGAUGGUAUAUGAAUCUACACUCUAAUAAUCUAUUCUCUUCUCCUAUUCAGUCCUAUAGUCAUAUAUUAGUGGUGAAAUAAUUUUUCAAGGUUGGAUCUAGGCUUGCUAUUCAUUUUAGUCUGGGGAAGUUGGUAUCAUUGUGUGCUCGCCAAUUCGAUUAUGUAUCUAUGAAAAUCAUCGCUCCUGAAGAACUAUGUAGCUUCCUUCUAACUAAAUAGUUAUUCUUUUGGUUCCUGUUACCUGUUUUUUGUUUCUCAAAUUUCUGCUGCUUUGAUAGCUUUUAUACGCAUCCUGAUGUGCUUUAUUCCUGUGAUUGUUUUAAGCUGUCAAAGCCAUUGUUCGUAAUGCCAAGGUUCGUCAUAUCAUUUUCCCGUUAUCAUGGAAUUAAGUGUGUUUUAGUAGGUGUAUCUUUUGCUUGGACUUGCCAUCUAUAUCUUUCUUUUAAAGGAUAUCAAAUAUAAGUCUAAUAGAACUUCUAUACAUGCAUAUAAUACAUUUCAUAAUAGAAUUUUCUAAAAUCGCCUGAUUCGAUUUUGUGCAAAUAGCGUCAAGCAGCAUCGUUAACAGUUAGAAGAUACCAUUGGUUCCUAUCCUGUUUUACUCACAUUGGAGCUAUAUUGGUGACUUUCAUGGAUGUGAAAUGGCGGACUCAAUAUCUCAUCAUGCAGACUUAUCCUAUUCAAAUUGUGAAGAAGAUAUCAAUGGAAUUGAAGGCAACAACUCAAGAAAGAAUUAGCAGUUCGUGAGAGGCUUUCUUUGAGUAUUACUCCUUAAAAUUUCUUUCCUUGACCAUUUGGUUUCUAUAUGUAUUCUUCUAUAUCACCAAGCUAACAUUAGUGACAAACAAGAACAUGCUAUUGGCAUUCAGUCCAGCAAUAAAUCAUGUACUUCUCCUUCUCUACUUAAUUUUUGGGUGA